rnacentral:lncRNA from 1 species
GAUGAUAUUUUUAUUUCUGUUCUUCAAUAGAAAAUGAUACAACAACCUAGAAGUUUCCUGAAUCCUCUCCUAUAUACACCAUAUCUAUUACAAUAUAUUAGUACACAUGUUGGGCCAUUUGGGCCAGAAAAUAAAUAACAGAUAUUAUUUACAAAUGCUGCUACUCGGAUUGGGCUGUGCAGAUGGCCCAAUAACUUCAACACUCUGACUGGGUUGUGUAGAUGGCCCAACAACUCCAACACCCUCCUGCAAGUUGGAGGGUGACUGAACUCCCAACUUGUGCAAGAUAGAGUGAUGCAAAAUGCCAGUAAGGGGCUUGGUAAAUACAUCAGCAGGCUGAGCAGUUGUGGGGACAUGGUGCAAGGUAAUAAGCCCUUCAUGAAGCUUGCCUCUGAUGAAAUGACAAUCCACCUCAAUGUGUUUGGUCCGUUCAUGAAACACAGGAUUCUUGGCAAUGUGAAGGGCUACCUGAUUAUCAUAAUAAAAUGGGACAGGAGAUGUAAAAUCCACACCAAAAUCAGACAGUAAACGAAUGAGCCAGGUGAGCUCACCCACAACCUUGUUGAUGGCUCUAUACUCAGCCUCAGCAGAAGAGAGGGACACUACAGGCUGCUUCUUAGCCUUCACUCCAAUAGAACACAAAAGCCAGAUACAGAUCUCUGGUGUCUAGGCAGGAUGCCCAGUCACUAUCACAGUAAGCAGAUAAGGAGAGGUCAGGAGUGUUGCUGAGAAAGAUGCCAAGGUCAGAGGUGCCUCUGAGAUACAUUAGGGUAUGCAAAGCAGUAAGCAUAUGAGAGGAUGUAGGCUUCUGGAGGAACUGACUUAAAUGCUGGACAACAAAGGCUAAGUCAGGUCUGGUGUGGGUGAGGAAAUUGAGUUUUCCCACUAGGCAUCUAUAGGUUUCAGUACCUUAGGGUAUGUAAAGCAGCAAGCAUAUGAGAGGAUGUAGGCUUCUGGAGAAACUGACUUAAAUGUUUGACAGUAAAGGCUAAGUCAGGUCUGGUAUGGGUGAGGAAAUUGAGUUUCCCCACUAGGCAUCUAUAGGUCUCAGGAGAGGGAAGAGGAUCCCCUAAAUCCAGUUUGAGUUUAAUAGAGAGGUCAAGAGGGCAAGUAACAGGAGAUACAUCUUCACAGUGAUAGGCCAUGAGGAGGUCAGUGAUGAAUUUUUUCUGGUGGAGAAGGAGAGAGGUCAAGAGGCAAGCAACAGGAGAUACAUCUUCACAGUGAUAGGCAAAGAGGAGGUCAGUGAUGAAUUUUUUCCGGUGUAGAAUAAGCCCAGUAGGAAGAUAAAAGACCUCAAUACCCAAAAAUAGUUCAGCACCCCUAAGUCCUUGAUUUUAAUCUCAUGAUCCAGAAAGCUUUUCAAACCAGUGAUCUCUUCCAAAUUAUUACCAGUAAGAAUGAUGUCAUCAACAUAUACAGCCAACAAGACAAUAGAUGAGCCAGAUUUCUUAAGGAAAAGAGAAUUAUCAUUGAGAGAAGAAGAGAAACCCUUAGAACACAAGGCCUGUGACAGAUUGGCAUACCAUCGCCUGGAAGCUUGCCUUAAACCAUACAGAGAUUUUUGAAGAAGACAGGCCAAGGGAGAAGAAGAAGAAGCACAGGUGACCUCCUGACCAGGGGGCAAUUUCAUAUAGACUUCCUCAGCUAAGUCACCAUGUAGGAAGGCAGUAUUGACAUCAAGUUGAAAAAGGGACCAGUGUUGUUUGACAGCCACACCAAUGAGGGAUUUUAUAGUGGGAAAACUUAACAACAUGAGAGAAAGUCUCAUUAAUGUCUACCCCCUCAACCUGGGUGUCACCCCUAACAACCAGCCUAGCCUUGUGCCUCUCCACAGACCCAUCAACCCUAUAUUUAAUCUUGUAAACCCAUUUACAACCAAUUGGCUUCUUUCCAGGGGGAAGGGGAACCAGUGACCAGGUAUGAUUGGCUUCCAAAGCAGCAAAUUCCUUGGCCAUGGCCUCCUGCCAAGCAGGAACAGAGGCAGCCUGCUUAUAAGAGGUAGGCUCAGCCUCUGGAGAGCUAACUAAACUGUGAAGACAAGUGGAAGAAGAGCUGGGGCCAGAGAUAGAUGGAGGGAGAGUGCAGACAUACUGCUGAAGGUGAGCAGGAAGAACAUGUGUCCUAGUGGAUGUUCUGGGAACAGAGGAGGCAGGCACUGAAGGAAUGUGUGAUUGGGAAGAGGAAGGGGAGGCAAGAGGAGGUUGGGUGAUGGAUGAAGAAGGAGUAGAUAGAAAGUCAUCAACAGGAGGAACCCAGGCAGAAGAAGGGGAAGGAGGGGGAAAGGGACUAUUGGAAGAGUGCCCUGGAGAAGCAAAAGGAAAGUCAUCCUCAUGAAAAGUGACAUCCCUGGAGAUCAUAGUAAGUUUGGACUUCAAGUUGUACAGUUCAUAACCCUUUUUACCCAAUGGAUAUCCCAGAAAAACACAUGGGUCUUCUCUGGGUUGAAAUUUAUCCCUGUUCUGUUUAGGGACUGAGGCAAAAUAGAGGCAACCAAAGGUUUUAAGAUGGUUAUAUGAUGGAACCUGUCCAAUCAGCAACUCAAAGGAGGAUUUAUUGUGAAGUAUUUUGGAGGGAAAUCUGUUGAUGAGGUAGGUGGCAGUGAGCACACAGUUACCCCAGAAUCUGAUAGGUAGCUGUAAAUGGAAAAGUAGAGCCCUUGAGGUUUCUAGGAGAUAUCUAUGCUUUCUCUCCACUACACCAUUUUGUUGUGGUGUGUGGGAGCAAGAAGUUUGAUGCAGUAUGCCAUUUUCAGCAAAGAAAUUGCUGCCACAACUACUAGAGCCAAGUUCAAAGGCAUUAUCACUCCUAAUGGUCUGUACCAUAGACUGAAAUUGAGUUUUAAUCAUGGCAAUAAAAGCCUUGAUAAGGGGAACGUCUGUAUCAUAGACUGAAAUUGAGUUUUAAUCAAGGCAAUGAAAACCCUGAUAAGGGGAAAGGCAUUGCUCUUGGACCCCAUAAGGUGGGUCCAAGUAGCUUUGGUAAAUUCAUCAACAAUUGUGAGAAAGUAUCUACACCCAUUAUGAGUGGGAGUGGCAUAGGGACCCCAUGUGUCAACAUGGAUUAGUUGAAAGACAUGUGUUGUUUUAAUAGAACUAUCAGGAAAGGGUAGUCUAGAUUGACUGGCUAAAGGGCAUAUAGAACAGAGGAAAGGAUGCUUUGAUGAAAAAGUACAUGGUAUAGAAGACAUGUCUUUCAUUCUAACAAAAGGUAUGUGCCCUAGUCAAACUAUCAGCAAAGGGUAGUCUAGAUUGCCUGGCUAAAGGGCAGAUAGGAUAGAGGAAAUGCUGCUUUGAUGAAAAAGUACAUGGUAUAGAAGCCAUGUCUUUCAUUCCAACAAAAGGUAUGUGCCCUAGUCUAUUGUGCUAUAAAAUCUCCAUUUUAUUAGAUUCAGAAUGAUAUGUACAAUGAGAAGAAGGAAUAGAAUCAACAGUUAAUGGAGACUGGUAUUUACAAUGAU